rnacentral:misc_RNA from 1 species
GAUGAAGAACGCAGCGAAAUGCGAUAAGUAAUGUGAAUUGCAGAACUCAGUGAAUCAUCGAAUCUUUGAACGCAUCUUGCGCUCCUUGGUAUUCUGAGGAGCAUGCCUGUUUGAGUGUCAUUAAAUUCUCAACUACACUGACUUUGAAUUGGUGUGGCUUGGAUUUGGGGGGAAAAUUGUUGUGGGCUUUUUGUAUAGUCUGCUCCCCUGAAAUUGAUUAGCGGUACCUUUGUGGAACUGUCUACAGGUGUGAUAAUUAUCUACAUCUUAGACAUCUGCUGGAAUGCUGCUUUCUAAACCUUACUUGUAUUGACAAUCUUGACCUCAAAUCAGGUAGGACUACCCGCUGAACUUAAGCAUAUCAAUAAGCGGAGGA